ACACACACACACAGAGAGAGAGAGACUCAAAUGGUUAGGAAUUAAAAACAUUAAAACAUUAGUUUACAAUCUUAACCCCUUGUUCACACUUAGAAAUGAAUAUUUACAGCAGACUUGCUGGAUCUUGAUUUGCAUUAUAAUGAAACAGAAACAUUGCAGGUAUCUUGAAAAAUCAUACCAGGAAACAACAUGGAAAUAUAUGCAGUAUGUGCCUUUCAAAAAGGUACAUUCUAUUCUAUUCUAAUUUCGCCCAGGUCACCUUUACUAUAUCAUGACACUUUCUGCAGCCUGUUUCUCCUCCCUCUCUUCCUCCUCCUUCCCGCACAGACUGGGAAGUAAUCCUAUAUAUAUAUUAGUUUUUCACCCUGUACUUCUUUAAAGGCUCUUCUCAGCUCACAGAAGCCAGAAGAAGUUCCUGCUCAGUGCAAGGCUCCCAAAGAUGAGCUGGACAAAUGUGUUCAGGGGAAGGGUGCAGAGGGCUGUAAGGAGCUGCUGGAAGCUUUUGAGGCCUGUGUGAAGGGGACCACGGCAGCCUCGUGAGGGGACAUGGAUUUACAUGUCUUUCCUUUCUGGGUCCUCCAGUGCCCUUGCUUUCCCUCACAUUGCACUGGACUAAACCAUUUUAUGGACAGUGAAAGGGGUGCAAGAGCUGGAAAGCAGUGGAAUUGUUUAUUUUGAUCCUGGGAAGUUGUUGUCCUUGUUGGUGUCCCUCAUGUUUACUGUGUUAUUUGUAACAGUGGAAGAAAGAAGAACCCAGUUUUAUUAUUAUUAUUAUUUUCCAGAUUUCACACUGUAAUAAAACAGUGCAUUUCAUUUGAUUUUUAAUAAAUUACUAUCAAUAACCAUGACAAUUAAGAGGCAGCCUAUACAUAACUGUGUUCACUAAAUAACUGACACUAAAGAGCUUCAUAAUAUUUAAUUGCAUGCAAUGAUUGAUUGACCUUUAACUGCAGUGGUCUGCAUACUUGCUAACUUGUGCCAAGCACAUUGGCAGCGCUGCUCAUGUGGUUUCCUGAAAGUGGGCCUGUAAACACAGCAACUGACUGUCAGCACCAUCUAUUGAAGAAAUUCUGAUGGUGUUGACAAAACCAUUUUCAUACUUUUCAUCCCAUGUUAAUCAUGCAUGCAUGUCAUGUAGGUUUUAUAGUAUCGCUAGCAAGGGCCUAUAUAAGAUUAGAAAAGGGUUCACAUAAUUGUUGUAUUGGGGG